rnacentral:rRNA from 1 species
GGGUAGUUUGACUGGGGCGGUCUCCUCCUAAAGAGUAACGGAGGAGCACGAAGGUUGGCUAAUCCUGGUCGGACAUCAGGAGGUUAGUGCAAUGGCAUAAGCCAGCUUGACUGCGAGCGUGACGGCGCGAGCAGGUGCGAAAGCAGGUCAUAGUGAUCCGGUGGUUCUGAAUGGAAGGGCCAUCGCUCAACGGAUAAAAGGUACUCCGGGGAUAACAGGCUGAUACCGCCCAAGAGUUCAUAUCGACGGCGGUGUUUGGCACCUCGAUGUCGGCUCAUCACAUCCUGGGGCUGAAGUAGGUCCCAAGGGUAUGGCUGUUCGCCAUUUAAAGUGGUACGCGAGCUGGGUUUAGAACGUCGUGAGACAGUUCGGUCCCUAUCUGCCGUGGGCGCUGGAGAACUGAGGGGGGCUGCUCCUAGUACGAGAGGACCGGAGUGGACGCAUCACUGGUGUUCGGGUUGUCAUGCCAAUGGCACUGCCCGGUAGCUAAAUGCGGAAGAGAUAAGUGCUGAAAGCAUCUAAGCACGAAACUUGCCCCGAGAUGAGUUCUCCCUGACUCCUUGAGAGUCCUGAAGGAACGUUGAAGACGACGACGUUGAUAGGCCGGGUGUGUAAGCGCAGCGAUGCGUUGAGCUAACCGGUAC